rnacentral:siRNA from 1 species
UGGAACGCCAUGCCUGCAUAUGA